CGCUGGCGGCGUGCUUAACACAUGCAAGUCGAACGGUAAGGCCCUUCGGGGUACACGAGUGGCGAACGGGUGAGUAACACGUGGGUGAUCUGCCCUGCACUUCGGGAUAAGCCUGGGAAACUGGGUCUAAUACCGGAUAGGACUCCUGGCUUCAUGGUUGGGGGUGUAAAGCUUUUGCGGUGUGGGAUGGGCCCGCGGCCUAUCAGCUUGUUGGUGGGGGUAAUGGCCUACCAAGGCGACGACGGGUAGCCGGCCUGAGAGGGUGACCGGCCACACUGGGACUGAGAUACGGCCCAGACUCCUACGGGAGGCAGCAAUGGGGAAUAUUGCACAAUGGGCGCAAGCCUGAUGCAGCGACGCCGCGUGAGGGAUGACGGCCUUCGGGUUGUAAACCUCUUUCAAUAGGGACGAAGCGCAAGUGACGGUACCUAUAGAAGAAGGACCGGCCAACUACGUG
rnacentral:rRNA from 1 species